UGAGCAAUCUGCCCUUCUCAUCGGAAUAAGCGUUGGAAACGACGUCUAAUGCCGAAUACGACCUCCUUUCGCAUGAUCGGAGGUGGAAAGCUCCGGCGGAGAAGGAUGAGCUCGCGGCCUAUCAGCUAGUUGGUGUGGGUAAUGGCCCACCAAGGCGACGACGGGUAGCCGGCCUGAGAGGGUGACCGGCCACACUGGGACUGAGAUACGGCCCAGACCUCCGUACGGGAGCAG
rnacentral:rRNA from 1 species